UGCUGCAUGGCUGUCGUCAGCUCGUGUCGUGAGAUGUCGGUUAAGUCCGCUAACGAGCGCAACCCUCGCUGUGUGUUACAAGUGUCACACGGAACUGCCGGUCAUAAACCGGAGGAAGGUGGGGAUGACGUCAAGUCAGCAUGGCCUUUAUAUCCUGGGCUACACACACGCUACAAUGGGAAGGGACAAUAGGUUGCGAAGCCGCGAGGUGGAGCCAAUCCAGUAAACUUCCCUCAGUUCAGAUUGCAGGCUGCAACUCGCCUGCAUGAAGUUGGAGUUGCUAGUAAACGCAGGUCAGCCAUACUGCGUUGAAUACGUUCCCGGGGCUU
rnacentral:rRNA from 1 species